rnacentral:misc_RNA from 1 species
GACAUAUACAGCAUUCAGCAUCCUCAGGAUAGAGUAUGCGUUCAUUUGCCAAGUAUCCACUGCUUGUUUCAACAGGAACCAUUUUCCCUGCCCCAACAUUGGGCUUUUCCUCAUUGCCUAUCACCUGAAAUCUGUAUUUUGGGAGGAUACUAAGAUCUGCUUCAGAUGCACCUUCCUGCCCCGCAACAGCAUAAAGAAUUGCUAUGAUGCAUGGUAGGCAGCAACAGAGAGCAAUCCCAAUCAAAC